CAGUAGCCACGGGAAUACGGAGGGUGCAAGCGUUAAUCGGAUUUACUGGGCGUAAAGCGUGCGUAGGCGGCUUUUUAAGUCGGAUGUGAAAUCCCUGAGCUUAACUUAGGAAUUGCAUUCGAUACUGGGAAGCUAGAGUAUGGGAGAGGAUGGUAGAAUUCCAGGUGUAGCGGUGAAAUGCGUAGAGAUCUGGAGGAAUACCGAUGGCGAAGGCAGCCAUCUGGCCUAAUACUGACGCUGAGGUACGAAAGCAUGGGGAGCAAACAGGAUUAGAUACCCCAGUAGUCCCUGUCUCUUAUAC
rnacentral:rRNA from 1 species